rnacentral:rRNA from 1 species
AACGAACGCUGGCGGCAUGCCUAACACAUGCAAGUCGAACGAGACCUUCGGGUCUGGUGGCGCACGGGUGCGUAACGCGUGGGAAUCUACCCUUGGGUUCGGAAUAACAGUUAGAAAUGACUGCUAAUACCGGAUGAUGACGUAAGUCCAAAGAUUUAUCGCCCAAGGAUGAGCCCGCGUAAGAUUAGCUUGUUGGUGGGGUGAUGGCCUACCAAGGCGACGAUCUUUAGCUGGUCUGAGAGGAUGAUCAGCCACACUGGGACUGAGACACGGCCCAGACUCCUACGGGAGGCAGCAGUGGGGAAUAUUGGACAAUGGGCGAAAGCCUUCUCCAGCAAUGCCGCGUGAGUGAUGAAGGCCUUAGGGUUGUAAAGCUCUUUUACCAGGGAUGAUAAUGACAGUACCUGGAGAAUAAGCUCCGGCUAACUCCGUGCCAGCCGCCGCAGUAA